GUGAAGCCUGACCCUCGCGUGGGUGAGUAGGUGAGAGUGGCUCCGUGUGGUGGGAAGAGAGAUAGAGACAGAAAGACUUUUCUGGGCUACCCUUCCACUCAAGAACUCCCACAUCGCCUCCAGACUCACAUGGCCACGCAAUGCCAAACCACAAGCUGCUCGGAAUGGCAAACCUCUUCCAGCUUGCCAGCCUCCUCUAAUUUACUUUAUCGCCAUGGUGAAAAUCAAUGUGGCCCAAAUGAAUCAGUCUGGCUGUCUGAUCUGCUCUGAAAACCACGGCGAUAGCUUGCACCAGGCUGGUCCCAGAUCAGCCAUGAUGCGGACCAAUUGCAGCCUGAUCGAUAAUCACCAAGCCUAAAAAGAAGGGUACACCAGAUAACCAUCUCUGAAAAGAAGCAUUUUGUUCACUUAAAGCAGCCUGUAGAGCUACAGGAAGGCCACAAGUUGAAUCUGCUGAAAGUUAAAGCAUAUAAAUCUAUUCACUGUUAUAGAAUACCAAGGACGACAUUUAAUUUCAUCACUUCAGUCAUCGUAGCUCAAGAUGAAGUUACAUAAUUUGAUUUAAUGAAUAAUUUAAAUGUUAUACUUUUCAGAAGAGAGCCAAGUAAUAUGUUGACGUUAUUAGAUGGCAUAUAUUGUUCCACAAAAACUUAAGCACUGGUUUAUUUGGUUCAAUCACUACAUGUUAUCUAACAACUAAAAAAGGAUGUUCAAGUCAGUAAAUUUUAGUAAAUAUUAUUCAUGUCAGUGAAUAUUAUUUAUCAUUAUUUCUUAUGAUAAAGGAACAACAUAGUGAGGAGAAAAAACACCCUAAGUAGUAGCCACACUGCUCAAACUUUACAUUUACAAGAUGCCAGGAAAAAUGUUCAUGUUUCUUAAUUUGUACAAGUCUCUAUAUGUCUCUUCCUUUCUUUUAUCUUUCUCUCUCACUACAUUGUGGGACCCUUACCACUUGAAGUGUGAAGUAAAUACACAAGAGAUGACAGCAAACAGAUGUGUUUCUCUCUCAUAAAAGGAGAGAACGAAAAAAGAAAACACAAGGGAGAGAAGUCAAGCAGAGGUAAUCAAAUGUGAAUCGCAAAAUCAAAAAUCACAUUACUGCCUAAAAGCUCUGGCAUCCAAAUAAAUUCCUCUCAGUUGUCUUUCCAGCAUGAACAUCUUAGGCAUGCCAGUUUAUAUAAGCAAUCAGCUCUCACUGUAAACAGACAUCGUUGACCUGCCUGAAACAUUUCCUGCACGGAUUCUCUGAGCUGAAGACGAGCUCACUCCCACCUGAGAGUAAACCUGCUCACCCAAAGCACAAAACACAAGCAGGCAGCUUCCUCAAUCUGGAGUAGCUGGGAAACAGGACCACGGACAGAAGAUCAGUGAAGAUAUAGGGUCUACCCCAGACCUACUGCAUCGCAUCCCUUCAGAAAGUCCCUCUGCACUGUAGAUUAUUAGGAAAGUUCAGUCUGAGGGAGUUGAACCUGCACUGAGCCAGAUCUCAAUGCUGGCCACAGAGUUGGAAUAGAGUGCACAUGGAUGAAGCAGCUGGUCUAAGGGUCAAUAACCUACUUAUUUACUCAGUCAAGAGCAAAAGUCCCACUGAACGUUUGACCCACCCUCUCACCACAGUGCCUGUGGAAGAGCCAAACAUGCAGAAUAUUUUACUACACAUUCUUUUGUUCCAUGGAUAUGGUAAAACCAGCUUCUGUCAUCAGAGGAAAAUGGUCUACUGUCUUAUUUGUGUUCCUGUGCAGUUCUAUAUCUGUCCUAUAAACAGGCUGGAGCUUCUUGUAAGAGGGGAGUAUGAUCUGGUACUGCUGCUAUCUGAGUAAUAGGCUAGUGAGGACCACUGGGAGAACAGUGAGGCUACUACAGCUCGGGGGACGCUCUCUAAUUUCUCCAGAAUUAAACAUUUCUGAUAGGUUGAUUAAUGGCUAAAGUAUUUUUUCAUUGUGUAGAAUGGGACUCACCUCUCUCUCUCUCACUCAGUCUCUCUCUCUCUCUCUCUCUCUCUCUCUCUCUCUCUCUCUCUCUCUCUCUCUGUGUCUGUUACACUCUGCCUCUGCAAACAGUCUCUCUCCUUUUUUUACCAACAAAAUCCCAUUCCACUUUGCCCCUUUACUGUUAAAUAAAAGCUACAAAUUCCC